GACGGAGGAUGCAAGCGUUAUCCGGAAUGAUUGGGCGUAAAGCGUCCGCAGGUGGCAGUCCAAGUCUGCUGUCAAAGACCGAGGCUUAACUUCGGAAAGGCAGUGGAAACUGAACAGCUAGAGUAUGGUAGGGGCAGAGGGAAUUCCUGGUGUAGCGGUGAAAUGCGUAGAGAUCAGGAAGAACAUCGGUGGCGAAGGCGCUCUGCUGGACCAUAACUGACACUCAGGGACGAAAGCUAGGGGAGCGAAUGGG
rnacentral:rRNA from 1 species